rnacentral:rRNA from 1 species
SCGGKACCSGCUGRGGRGGCGGCCGGCACCCUGGACUAAACCCCGGCCCAGAUUCUUCGGAGCAGCAGUGGGGAUAUGCACAAUGGGCGAACUGAUGCAGCGACGCCGCGUGAGGGAUGACGCCUUUCGGGUUGUAAACUCUUUCAGCAGGAAGAAGCGAAAGUGACGGUACCCGCAGAAGAAGCACCGGCUAACUACGUGCCAGCAGCCGCGGUAAUACGUAGGGUGCGAGCGUUGUCCGGAAUUAUUGGGCGUAAAGAGCUCGUAGGCGGCUUGUCACGUCGGAUGUGAAAGCCCGGGGCUUAACCCCGGGUCUGCAUUCGAUACGGGCAGGCUAGAGUUCGGUAGGGGAGAUCGGAAUUCCUGGUGUAGCGGUGAAAUGCGCAGAUAUCAGGAGGAACACCGGUGGCGAAGGCGGAUCUCUGGGCCGAUACUGACGCUGAGGAGCGAAAGCGUGGGGAGCGAACAGGAUUAGAUACCCUGGUAGUCCACGCCGUAAACGUUGGGCACUAGGUGUGGGCGACAUUCCACGUUGUCCGUGCCGCAGCUAACGCAUUAAGUGCCCCGCCUGGGGAGUACGGCCGCAAGGCUAAAACUCAAAGGAAUUGACGGGGGUCCGCACAAGCGGCGGAGCAUGUGGCUUAAUUCGACGCAACGCGAAGAACCUUACCAAGGCUUGACAUACACCGGAAACAUCUGGAGACAGGUGCCCCCUUGUGGUCGGUGUACAGGUGGUGCAUGGCUGUCGUCAGCUCGUGUCGUGAGAUGUUGGGUUAAGUCCCGCAACGAGCGCAGCCCUUAUCCUGUGUUGCCAGCGUGCCCUUCGGGGUGACGGGGACUCACGGGAGACUGCCGGGGUCAACUCGGAGGAAGGUGGGGACGACGUCAAGUCAUCAUGCCCCUYAYGUCUUGGGCUGCACACGU